rnacentral:rRNA from 1 species
UACGUAGGGUGCGAGCGUUGUCCGGAAUUAUUGGGCGUAAAGAGCUCGUAGGCGGUGUGUCACGUCGGCCGUGAAACCUGCAGCUUAACUGUGGGCGUGCGGUCGAUACGGGCAUCACUGGAGUUCGGCAGGGGAGACUGGAAUUCCUGGUGUAGCGGUGAAAUGCGUAGAUAUCAGGAGGAACACCGAUGGCGAAGGCAGGUCUCUGGGCUGACACUGACGUCAUGCACG